rnacentral:rRNA from 1 species
UCAGGAUGAACGCUAGCUACAGGCUUAACACAUGCAAGUCUAGGGGCAGCAUGGUCUUAGCUUGCUAAGGCCGAUGGCGACCGGCGCACGGGUGAGUAACACGUAUCCAACCUGCCGUCUACUCUUGGACAGCCUUCUGAAAGGAAGAUUAAUACAAGAUGGCAUCAUGAGUCCGCAUGUUCACAUGAUUAAAGGUAUUCCGGUAGACGAUGGGGAUGCGUUCCAUUAGAUAGUAGGCGGGGUAACGGCCCACCUAGUCUUCGAUGGAUAGGGGUUCUGAGAGGAAGGUCCCCCACAUUGGAACUGAGACACGGUCCAAACUCCUACGGGAGGCAGCAGUGAGGAAUAUUGGUCAAUGGGCGAGAGCCUGAACCAGCCAAGUAGCGUGAAGGAUGACUGCCCUAUGGGUUGUAAACUUCUUUUAUAAAGGAAUAAAGUCGGGUAUGGAUACCCGUUUGCAUGUACUUUAUGAAUAAGGAUCGGCUAACUCCGUGCCAGCAGCCGCGGUAAUACGGAGGAUCCGAGCGUUAUCCGGAUUUAUUGGGUUUAAAGGGAGCGUAGAUGGAUGUUUAAGUCAGUUGUGAAAGUUUGCGGCUCAACCGUAAAAUUGCAGUUGAUACUGGAUAUCUUGAGUGCAGUUGAGGCAGGCGGAAUUCGUGGUGUAGCGGUGAAAUGCUUAGAUAUCACGAAGAACUCCGAUUGCGAAGGCAGCCUGCUAAGCUGCAACUGACAUUGAGGCUCGAAAGUGUGGGUAUCAAACAGGAUUAGAUACCCUGGUAGUCCACACGGUAAACGAUGAAUACUCGCUGUUUGCGAUAUACUGCAAGCGGCCAAGCGAAAGCGUUAAGUAUUCCACCUGGGGAGUACGCCGGCAACGGUGAAACUCAAAGGAAUUGACGGGGGCCCGCACAAGCGGAGGAACAUGUGGUUUAAUUCGAUGAUACGCGAGGAACCUUACCCGGGCUUAAAUUGCAGAUGAAUUACGGUGAAAGCCGUAAGCCGCAAGGCAUCUGUGAAGGUGCUGCAUGGUUGUCGUCAGCUCGUGCCGUGAGGUGUCGGCUUAAGUGCCAUAACGAGCGCAACCCUUGUUGUCAGUUACUAACAGGUUCCGCUGAGGACUCUGACAAGACUGCCAUCGUAAGAUGUGAGGAAGGUGGGGAUGACGUCAAAUCAGCACGGCCCUUACGUCCGGGGCUACACACGUGUUACAAUGGGGGGUACAGAGGGCCGCUACCACGCGAGUGGAUGCCAAUCCCCAAAACCUCUCUCAGUUCGGACUGGAGUCUGCAACCCGACUCCACGAAGCUGGAUUCGCUAGUAAUCGCGCAUCAGCCACGGCGCGGUGAAUACGUUCCCGGGCCUUGUACACACCGCCCGUCAAGCCAUGGGAGCCGGGGGUACAAGAAGUGCGUAACCGCGAGGAG